GAUGAACGCUGGCGGCGUGCUUAACACAUGCAAGUCGAACGGAGAAAAAGUGCUUGCACUUUUUCUUAGUGGCGGACGGGUGAGUAACGCGUGGGUAACCUGCCCUAUGCAGGGGGAUAACAAUGAGAAAUCAUUGCUAAUACCGCAUAAACUAUGGAUGUCGCAUGACAACUAUAGCAAAGAUUUAUCGGCAUAGGAUGGACCCGCGUUGGAUUAGCUAGUUGGUGAGAUAACAGCCCACCAAGGCAACGAUCCAUAGCCGGCCUGAGAGGGUGAACGGCCACAUUGGGACUGAGACACGGCCCAAACUCCUACGGGAGGCUG
rnacentral:rRNA from 1 species